GCCGAGAUAGCUCAGU
rnacentral:tRNA from 3 species